rnacentral:rRNA from 1 species
UACGUAGGUGGCGAGCGUUGUCCGGAAUUAUUGGGCGUAAAGAGCAUGUAGGCGGUUUUUUAAGUCUGGAGUGAAAAUGCGGGGCUCAACCCCGUAUGGCUCUGGAUACUGGAAGACUUGAGUGCAGGAGAGGAAAGGGGAAUUCCCAGUGUAGCGGUGAAAUGCGUAGAUAUUGGGAGGAACACCAGUGGCGAAGGCGCCUUUCUGGACUGUGUCUGACGCUGAGAUGCGAAAGCCAGGGUAGCGAACGGGAUUAGAUACCCCGGUAGUCCUGGCCGUAAACGAUGGGUACUAGGUGUAGGAGGUAUCGACCCCUUCUGUGCCGGAGUUAACGCAAUAAGUACCCCGCCUGGGGAGUACGUCCGCAAGGAUGAA